AUUGAACGCUGGCGGCAGGCCUAACACAUGCAAGUCGAGCGGAUGAAGGGAGCUUGCUCCUGGAUUCAGCGGCGGACGGGUGAGUAAUGCCUAGGAAUCUGCCUGGUAGUGGGGGAUAACGUCCGGAAACGGGCGCUAAUACCGCAUACGUCCUGAGGGAGGAAGUGGGGGAUCUUCGGACCUCACGCUAUCAGAUGAGCCUAGGUCGGAUUAGCUAGUUGGUGGGGUAAAGGCCUACCAAGGCGACGAUCCGUAACUGGUCUGAGAGGAUGAUCAGUCACACUGGAACUGAGACACGGUCCAGACUCCUACGGGAGGCAGCAGUGGGGAAUAUUGGACAAUGGGCGAAAGCCUGAUCCAGCCAUGCCGCGUGUGUGAAGAAGGUCUUCGGAUUGUAAAGCACUUUAAGUGGGGAGGAAGGGCAGUAAGUUAAUACCUUGCUGUUUUGACGUUACCAACAGAAUAAGCACCGGCUAACUUCGUG
rnacentral:rRNA from 1 species